GCUUCUUGACCUGUUCCAGGCUCAGCCCCGUACUCUCGUUGACGCCGAAGUGGCCCAGCACCUCCUCCACCGUCUUGGUGUGCGCGUUCUCCAUGGCUUCGGGGGCCCGGCCGGCCUCGCCUCCCGUCCCCGCGGCCUCCUCGCCUCCGCCUCGCACUCCGGCCGCGGGCUCGUGCCACCCCGGGAGCCCAGGCGCGGACGGGCUCUCCCCUCCUCCUCUUGCGGCCGCUUCCGCCUCGCCGGGCGCUGAAUCACCCCGCGCC
rnacentral:lncRNA from 1 species